rnacentral:rRNA from 1 species
CUACGGGGCGCUGCAGUGAGGAAUAUUGCACAAUGGGGGGAACCCUGAUGCAGCAACGCCGCGUGGAGGAUGACGCAUUUCGGUGUGUAAACUCCUUUUAUAUGUCAAGAAAAUGACGGUAGCAUAUGAAUAAGCACCGGCUAACUCCGUGCCAGCAGCCGCGGUAAUACGGAGGGUGCAAGCGUUACUCGGAAUCACUGGGCGUAAAGGACGCGUAGGCGGGUUGGAAAGUCAGGUGGGAAAUCCUACAGCUUAACUGUAGAACUGCACUUGAAACUUCUAAUCUAGAGUAUGGGAGGGGGAGAUGGAAUUAGUGGUGUAGGGGUAAAAUCCGUAGAUAUCACUAGGAAUACCUAAAGCGAAGGCGAUCUCCUGGAACAUUACUGACGCUAAGGCGUGAAAGCGCGGGGAGCAAACAGGAUUAGAUACCCCCGUAGUC